AACCAGAUCCUCAGCAUCCUCACCCAAGUUUGCGCCCUCAACACAGCGUGGCCCUCUGCCAGCUGGCAGGUAAGACGAGGAUAGAGCACUUGCUCAGAGGAUGGUUUUUCACUUGGCACUGCUGUGCCCGGGACCAGGCUCCAAAAGCAAGCACAAGGGAACUCGUUAAGUACAACAGGAUGUGAUUAGUCCCACAUGGGGAGCUCAUGUGUUAUAUCAAAAGAAACAACAACCAGCUGGUAGAACUACUUACAUCAAGGAAAGGAAUGGUGAGGAGGAGAGCUGAGGGAGAGCAGUGACCACUAGGAGAGCGAGUACUGGGUAUGAGACAAGAAGCUUUUGGAUCUACGUGGGCAUGACUGCACCCCGGUCAAGGGGACAACGUGACACACAAAGGAGGUGACCCUGCAGCGUGACAGAUCUGAAUGCACGGAGUACAGAUGGAGCAUCUCCGAGGGAUGUGGUCUGAGGAAUCACAAGUGAAAUUGAUGAGAACUUGAUGCAACACCAAGCACUUUUAUCAGAAUUUCAAUGGAAAUUCCAAGCAAAGCAGGUUGGAUGACAAGCACAUGAACACCGACCUUGGGAAGAGCAACUAUGCAUGUUGGUGGUAGGAUAUAAGUGCUGCACAGCCUCUUCCAGGAGCACCUGGAGAUGCUUCCGGAAGACUCUGCCUGGACACAGUGUGCUGCUUGACCACAUCUGCCUGUUGUAAAACAAAGUACCUAAAGCAAGCCAAAUUCAUGGAAGGCGAAGCACUUAUUUAGUGCAAUUUAGCAGUCACCUGUGCACCUGGGAAAUCUGCUUGGUGCUAAAGGUUUGCCUGAGCCCUGGUUCUGUGAGGAUAAAUGAGGACGUGUGUUGGGCAAGAGCAGCAGGAGGCAGCCAGAUCUGCACUGAGCUAACCUCAUCCCACCCAGUACGCAAGAAAUGUAUCUGUGAAGAACUACUCGUACAACUGUGUUCAUCAGCAAAGACUUACAUUAGUGCACAGCUUCCAUUACGCCUAACUGAAACCAAAGAGAGUCAGCUCGUCUUGGACUUCAUAGCAGAGCCCAGUGAGGAUGAAAGAUCACCCCUUGUUAACAGCAAGGGGCUAAUAGGAGACUGGUGUCAGCAGCAGCAAAAAGGAAGGAGAGCGAGGCGUGCAGGAGCAGAGCAGACAUCCUUCUCACCAUCUCUUCCACGACUGUUGAACUGCUUCCUCUAAGAGAUUAAGAUGACGACCUGUCCUGCUGUCUCCGGGCUGGGAGAUAAGGUCUAUCUCUGCAUCCCAACUGUCCUCGCUGGGGAACUGCAAGGAGUGGUGCUGACAGGAGUGCAGCAAGGGAGGAGAUGGGGAGAGCAGUGAGC
ensembl:lncRNA